rnacentral:rRNA from 1 species
GUCUUUUUGAGUUAUUUUUAAAGUCUGACCUGCCCACUGAAAUUUUUAAAUGGCCGCAGUAUCCUAACUGUGCAAAGGUAGCAUAAUCAUUAGUCUUUUAAUUGAAGGCUGGUAUGAACGGUUGGACGAGGUAUAAGCUGUUUCAUAUAAAUUUAUAAUAGAAUUUUAUAUUUUAGUCAAAAAGCUAAAAUAUUAUUAAAAGACGAGAAGACCCUAUAAAUCUUUAUAUUUUUUUUUAUUUAAAUUUUUUGGAUUUAUUUUAUUUUUAUAAUAGAAAAUAUUUUGUUGGGGUGAUGUUAAAAUUUAAUGAACUUUUAAUUAUAAAAAAUCAUUAAUUUAUGAGUUAUUGAUCCAUUAGUAGUGAUUAUAAGAUUAAGUUACUUUAGGGAUAACAGCGUAAUUUUUUUGGAGAGUUCAUAUCGAUAAAAAAGUUUGCGACCUCGAUGUUGGAUUAAGAUAUAAUUUUAGGUGUAGCCGCUUAAAUGUUAAGUCUGUUCGACUUUUAAAUUCUU